GUGAAAUUCCUGGUUGAGAUAAGGAAAGAAACCCCGGAGGCGAAGGCGAGUAUCUGGCGCAUGAUUGACGCUGAUGAGCGAAAGCGUAGGGAGCGAACAGGAUUAGAUACCCUGGUAGUCUACGCUGUAAACGAUGUGCACUUGGGGGUGGGAGUUUGUUUCUCGCUGCCGUAGCUAACGUGUUAAGUGCACCGCCUGGGGAGUAUGCCGGCAACGGUGAAACUCAAAGGAAUUGACGGGGGCCCGCACAAGCGGUGGAGCAUGUGGUUUAAUUCGAUGAUACGCGAGGAACCUUACCAGGGCUUGACAUAUAUAGGACCGCUGUAGAGAUACAGUUUUCACUUUUGUGACCUUUAUACAGGUGCUGCAUGGUUGUCGUCAGCUCGUGCCGUGAGGUGUUGGGUUAAGUCCCGCAACGAGCGCAACCCUUGUCGUAUGUUACCAUCAUUUAGUUGGGGACUCAUGCGAGACUGCCGGUGACAAACCGGAGGAAGGUGAGGAUGACGUCAAAUCAGCAUGGCCCUUAUGUCCUGGGCUACACACGUGCUACAAUGGCCGGUACAAUGUGCUGCUAAACUGCGAAGUUAAGCGAACCACAAAAAGCCGGUCUCAGUUCGGAUCGGAGUCUGAAACUCGACUCCGUGAAGGUGGAAUCGCUAGUAAUCGCGUAACAGCUUGACGCGGUGAAUACGUUCCCGGGCCUUGUACACACCGCCCGUCACACCACCCGAGUUGGGGGUACCCGAAGUCGCUAGUCUAACCUUUUAGGAGGACGGUGCCGAAGGUAUGCCCGGUAAGGGGGGUGAAGUCGUAACAAGGUAACCGUAA
rnacentral:rRNA from 1 species